rnacentral:misc_RNA from 1 species
GAUGAAGAACGUAGCGAAAUGCGAUACUUGGUGUGAAUUGCAGAAUCCCGUGAACCAUCGAGUCUUUGAACGCAAGUUGCGCCCGAAGCCAUUAGGCCGAGGGCACGCCUGCCUGGGCGUCACACGUCGUUGCCCCCCCAUCUACUCCUUCGGGAUUGCGGGGGGCGGAUGAUGGCCUCCCGUGCGCCUCGUCGCGCGGUUGGCAUAAAUGCCAAGUCCUCGGCGACGCGCGCCACGACAAUCGGUGGUUGCGAAACCUCGGUUGCCCGUCGUGUGCGGUCGUCGCGCAUCGAGGGCUCGAAAAAAUUGCCGGGCUCCGGCUCGGCUUUCAACGCGACCCCAGGUCAGGCGGGGUUACCCGCUGAAUUUAAGCAUAUCAAUAAGCGGAGGA